rnacentral:rRNA from 1 species
UACGGGGGGGGGCAAGCGUUGUUCGGAAUUACUGGGCGUAAAGGCUCGUAGGCGGCCAACUAAGUCAGACGUGAAAGCCCUGGGCUUAACCUAGGAAUUGCGCUUGAGACUGGAUAGCUUGGAGUGCGGCAGAGGGAGGUGGAAUUCCACGUGUAGCAGUGAAAUGCGUAGAGAUGUGGAGGAACACCGAUGGCGAAGGCAGCCUCCUGGGCCAGCACUGACGCUCAUGCACGAAAGCGUGGGGAGCAAACAGG